GGGUUAUAACAAAACAAAUCACCUCCACAGUCGAGAACAAGUGACGAAGUGAAACCACAUCAGCAGAGCUGCAGAGGCGCCUCCACCUUCAGGCAACGACCAGUCACCUCCGCGGCUCCGCCGAUUGCCGACACCGCUGUCCUCCUCCGCGGCUCCGCCUCCGCCGACAGCCUUCAGUUUGUUAUACGAUUAUCAUCAGCGAUUAAGAAAUAAUCUUGGAACAAAAAGCUACAUUUAUGGUUGUUGAUUUCAGUUCUUGAGUUCAAGAUGCCUAUUGAUUUCAAAGAUUUUCAACUUUCACCAUUCAAGGUGCUCUUGAAUGAUGCAAGCCCAUUAGGAAAGACAAGGUAUGAUUAAUUUCAUUAAUUUUCUAAUUUUUAAUUCAGUUUAAUCUAUCUCUAUUGUUAAAGCAAAAUAACUCUGAGUAUUUGACUAUAAUGUGGCAUAGCUACUUAUUCGGAGGUGUACAAAUCAGUUUUUUUAAUUUUAAAACGAUAUGAUUUUUUUAACUGGUUUCGGUUUUUUAUGGCACAAAAAAAAACAUUUUUUUAUAACCAGUUCGGUUUUUUAAACCGAUUUGAUACGGAAAGAAUUCGAGGUACUAACCAGUUCGGUUCGGUUUUUAAACCGGUAACGACGAGGUAUGUUUUGCCACAAACAAACUGACUAAGAGUAUGCACUUAACUGUUUAUAUUACCCGGUGAUUAAUUUGCUAUUUUUUUUAUAAUAUUGUACUAUUUUCAAGUAAAUGCAUUGCUUUUAAUUUGAUUUGUUCACAUUUCUGAUGUGAGAUUGUUCAACAAAUACCCUUGCUUAUAUCUUUAGACUUGCCAAUGGUUCUAAUUAAGCCUCCAAAGGCAUGCUCCACACUGGAAGUUUACAAGGUAAUUUGUCUCUUAUGACUAGAGGCCACCAAAUGGGUAGGUCAUGUGAGUUGGGUAACGGGUCAAAAACAGGUUUGGAUUGAAACGGGUCAUAAUAGACCAAGUGAGGUUAACAUUUAAAAUCCUUUUUUUUCGCUUCUUUUUAACUUAUAUAUAGUUAUAAACAAUAAAUGGCUAAUUUUGAUUACAAAAACCAUAUUUUUCUAAUAACGAGUUUGAAUAAAAUGAUUUAGUGUAACAUUUAACCCAUUUGACAUGUUCUAUGUUUUUCAUUUGACCCUUUCGAGAUAGAACACAACCAAAUUUAACCUAUUGAUUCUUAAAUGGAUGUAAAUUGCCACCUCUACUUACGACAAUGAUGUUGAAAUGUUACUUAUCAGUAGUUCCGGUUAGAUGUAUCAGGUACUGUUGACCUUUUAGCGUUGCUGGAGAAGAUAUCAAAGAAUGGAAUAUCACAAGAUGUUUGGCGAAGAAGAACCGGUCUAUAACCGUCGGGUGGGGUUGUGCCUGAAUCGGUUUUUUUAAUAAUCGGUUAAAAAACAGUUUUGGUUUUUUUUCAAUUUCGAUCCUAAAACCAGUUUUUUUUUGCAUGUAGAAAAAUUGAAUAUCAUAAUAAUGCCAUGAAAUCUAAUUGUGUGUAGGUCAUGAAAUCUGCACAACAAGUUGGUAGAAUGUCAAUGCAAUGGACCACAUAUGUCUUUCAUGAAAAUGAUCAAUGUGAUGAACCAAUAGAGGUUAGGUAUGCGCCUAUCGCACUGGUAACGACGAGAUUGUUCAACAAAUACCCUCGCCUAUAUCUUUUGACUUGCCAAUGGUUCUAAUUAAACCUCUAGAGGCAUGCUCCACACUUGAAGUUUACAAGAUGUAUCAGGUAUCGUUGACUCUUUUGCCUUGCUGGAGAAGAUAUCAAAGAAUGGAAUAUCACAAGAUGUUUGUGUAAAUGAUUUGGAACCGUCUGCAUUUGAGCGUUUCCUCUGAAAAGAUCAGAACAACGCAUAAUUGUUGCAUGCCGUGAAAAAUGUGAUGUUUUUAUGUCUCAAAGGAACCAAGAAUUCCUAAUAAUUUGUCAAUAGUUACAAGUGUGCUAUUUGCAACGCCAAGUCGAAUAAUCAAUCUAGAACAAACCCAUGCAGGUAUUCACAUCACUAUACCUGGUGGCACUAGCAAGCGGGGGAGUCAAGGUAUGUAUCUUAGUCGAGCAUAUCAAUUUGAUGACAAUGAUAUGGCUUAUAAAAAGGUCAAGAUUUUCUUUAAUUGGUAUAUUAAAGUGUAUAGCCAUUUGACGAUUUUUUAUUUUUCCGUAUUACCUUUUCUUUAGUUCAUUGUAAUUUAAUAUUUACAUAAGUAAUGAAACGUUUCUUUCGUU